rnacentral:rRNA from 1 species
UGAGGAAUAUUGGUCAAUGGACGAAAGUCUGAACCAGCCAUCCCGCGUGCAGGAUGACGGCCCUAUGGGUUGUAAACUGCUUUUCUACGCCAAGAAACCUACCAACGUGUUGGUAGCUGACGGUAGCGUAGGAAUAAGCACCGGCUAACUCCGUGCCAGCAGCCGCGGUAAUACGGAGGGUGCAAGCGUUAUCCGGAUUCAUUGGGUUUAAAGGGUGCGCAGGUGGGAAUGUAAGUCAGUGGUGAAAUACUGCCGCUUAACGGUAGAACUGCCAUUGAUACUGCGUUUCUUGAGUAUGGUUGAGGUAGGUGGAAUGUGUUGUGUAGCGGUGAAAUGCAUAGAUAUGACACAGAACGCCGAUUGCGAAGGCAACUUACUAAGCCAUUACUGACGCUGAGGCACGAAAGCGUGGGGAGCGAACA